UGCAUUUCCGUCCCAGGAGAACAGAGGUGU
rnacentral:piRNA from 1 species